UACCAAAUAUUUUGUUCAUAUUUCUAUCUUGUUGUACAAGCUGUACAAUACAUAAGAAAUUGAACAUAAUGUGUGAAUAUUCUCUCUCCCCCCGCUCCUUACUGUACUGCAGGGACCCUGGAGAAGGAUAAAUUAUAUACAUAGAAUCCUGAUUGUAAACCGGUAUAUGUACAGUGUAUACUGUACAACAAUAAAACUGAUUCAAAUACUUCAGUUUGCACUAACCUGCGCUGCAACUCUUAUAUCAGAAUUAAUAUUCAGAAUCACUGGUAGAGGUUAGAGUGGGCGUUUCUCUCUUCCCCUCCUCCCCUUCAUACUUCGACUCUCUGCGUACUGAAGUAAGCUAGAGAUGACGACCUCGCCAACCCCCCUGGAAAGGUCGAGUACUCGUUUAUUUGUCAUUUUGUAUUGAAAUAAACGAUUGUACAAAUUUA